rnacentral:rRNA from 1 species
AGGGGGCGUCUAUACAUGCAGUCGAGCGGACCGACGGGAGCUUGCUCCCUUAGGUCAGCGGCGGACGGGUGAGUAACACGUGGGUAACCUGCCUGUAAGACUGGGAUAACUCCGGGAAACCGGGGCUAAUACCGGAUGCUUGAUUGAACCGCAUGGUUCAAUCAUAAAAGGUGGCUUUUAGCUACCACUUACAGAUGGACCCGCGGCGCAUUAGCUAGUUGGUGAGGUAACGGCUCACCAAGGCGACGAUGCGUAGCCGACCUGAGAGGGUGAUCGGCCACACUGGGACUGAGACACGGCCCAGACUCCUACGGGAGGCAGCAGUAGGGAAUCUUCCGCAAUGGACGAAAGUCUGACGGAGCAACGCCGCGUGAGUGAUGAAGGUUUUCGGAUCGUAAAACUCUGUUGUUAGGGAAGAACAAGUACCGUUCGAAUAGGGCGGUACCUUGACGGUACCUAACCAGAAAGCCACGGCUAACUACGUGCCAGCAGCCGCGGUAAUACGUAGGUGGCAAGCGUUGUCCGGAAUUAUUGGGCGUAAAGCGCGCGCAGGCGGUUUCUUAAGUCUGAUGUGAAAGCCCCCGGCUCAACCGGGGAGGGUCAUUGGAAACUGGGGAACUUGAGUGCAGAAGAGGAGAGUGGAAUUCCACGUGUAGCGGUGAAAUGCGUAGAGAUGUGGAGGAACACCAGUGGCGAAGGCGACUCUCUGGUCUGUAACUGACGCUGAGGCGCGAAAGCGUGGGGAGCGAACAGGAUUAGAUACCCUGGUAGUCCACGCCGUAAACGAUGAGUGCUAAGUGUUAGAGGGUUUCCGCCCUUUAGUGCUGCAGCAAACGCAUUAAGCACUCCGCCUGGGGAGUACGGUCGCAAGACUGAAACUCAAAGGAAUUGACGGGGGCCCGCACAAGCGGGGGAGCAGGUGGUUUAAUUCGAAGCCACCCGAAGAACCUUACCAGGUCUUGACUCCUCUGACAACCCUAAAAAAGGGCUUCCCUUCG